rnacentral:misc_RNA from 1 species
AAGUCGUAACAAGGUUUCCGUAGGUGAACCUGCGGAAGGAUCAUUAACACGUAUCCAAACGUUAACCCCCCUGUGAACCUUCAAUGUGCUCGUACACUUUGUCAAAGCGAGGCAAUCCCUGGUAAAUCAUCGCCGAACAGUUUUGAUUCUGGGACUUCCUCAAAGAGUGUGCAUGUUGCGCGAGGCAAGUGGCCUGGCAUUCCCAAGCAGUUAAUGUCUGAAAGUGUCAUUAGCUGUGUAAGGAUGACGCAAUAACGAUCGUUGGAGGGCGCAAGCCCAUUUAUCACCACUUAAUGCAUGACAGACGCGCCAGCGCUUAAUUGUGCGGCGACCAAAAACCGAACAACUGUUAACAAUGGAUAUCUUGGUUCUC